GACGAACGCUGGCGGCGUGCCUAAUACAUGCAAGUCGAACGAACCGCGACUAAGUGCUUGCACUAAGUCAAGGUGAGUGGCGAACGGGUGAGUAACACGUGGGUAACCUACCUCAUAGUGGGGGAUAACAGUCGGAAACGACUGCUAAUACCGCAUAGGACAUAGGAUCACAUGAUCCAGUGAGGAAAGGUGGCGCAAGCUAUCGCUAAGAGAUGGACCCGCGGUGCAUUAGCUAGUUGGUAGGGUAAAGGCCUACCAAGGCGAUGAUGCAUAGCCGACCUGAGAGAGUGAGCGGCCACAUUGGAACUGAGACAAGGCCCAAACUCCUACGGGAGGCAGCAGUAGGGAAUCUGCCGCAAUGGACGCAAGUCUGACGGAGCAACGCCGCGUGAGUGAAGAAGGUCUUCGGAUCGUAAAGCUCUGUUGUUAGAGAAGAACAGCGCAUAGAGUAACUGCUAUGCGUGUGACGGUAUCUAACCAGAAAGCCACGGCUAACUACGUG
rnacentral:rRNA from 1 species